GAUGAACGCUGGCGGCGUGCCUAAUACAUGCAAGUCGAGCGAACAGACGAGGAGCUUGCUCCUCUGACGUUAGCGGCGGACGGGUGAGUAACACGUGGAUAACCUACCUAUAAGACUGGGAUAACUUCGGGAAACCGGAGCUAAUACCGGAUAAUAUAUUGAACCGCAUGGUUCAAUAGUGAAAGACGGUUUUGCUGUCACUUAUAGAUGGAUCCGCGCCGCAUUAGCUAGUUGGUAAGGUAACGGCUUACCAAGGCAACGAUGCGUAGCCGACCUGAGAGGGUGAUCGGCCACACUGGAACUGAGACACGGUCCAGACUCCUACGGGAGGCAGCAGUAGGAAAUCUUCCGCAAUGGGCGAAAGCCUGACGGAGCAACGCCGCGUGAGUGAUGAAGGUCUUCGGAUCGUAAAACUCUGUUAUUAGGGAAGAACAAAUGUGUAAGUAACGAUGCACGUCUUGACGGUACCUAAUCAGAAGGCCACGGCGAACUACGU
rnacentral:rRNA from 1 species